GGAUAUAGCUCACUGGCACAGAACUUGCCUGGCAAGCAGGAGGUCCUGAGUUUGAGUCUCAGUUCCA
rnacentral:tRNA from 1 species